UCAGAUUGAACGCUGGCGGCAGGCUAACACAUGCAAGUCGAGCGGUAGAGAGGUGCUUGCACCUCUUGAGAGCGGCGGACGGGUGAGUAAUGCCUAGGAAUCUGCCUGGUAGUGGGGGAUAACGUCCGGAAACGGACGCUAAUACCGCAUACGUCCUACGGGAGAAAGCAGGGGACCUUCGGGCCUUGCGCUAUCAGAUGAGCCUAGGUCGGAUUAGCUAGUUGGUGAGGUAAAGGCUCACCAAGGCGACGAUCCGUAACUGGUCUGAGAGGAUGAUCAGUCACACUGGAACUGAGACACGGUCCAGACUCCUACGGGAGGCAGCAGUGGGGAAUAUUGGACAAUGGGCGAAAGCCUGAUCCAGCCAUGCCGCGUGUGUGAAGAAGGUCUUCGGAUUGUAAAGCACUUUAAGUUGGGAGGAAGGGUCGUUACCUAAUACGUGACGAUUUUGACGUUACCGACAGAAUAAGCACCGGCUAACUCUGUGCCAGCAGCCGCGGUAAUACAGAGGGUGCAAGCGUUAAUCGGAAUUACUGGGCGUAAAGCGCGCGUAGGUGGUUUGUUAAGUUGAAUGUGAAAUCCCCGGGCUCACCCUGGGAACUGCAUCCAAAACUGGCAAGCUAGAGUAGGGCAGAGGGUGGUGGAAUUUCCUGUGUAGCGGUGAAAUGCGUAGAUAUAGGAAGGAACACCAGUGGCGAAGGCGACCMCCUGGGCUCAUACUGACACUGAGGUGCGAAAGCGUGGGGAGCAAACAGGAUUAGAUACCCUGGUAGUCCACGCCGUAAACGAUGUCAACUAGCCGUUGGAAUCCUUGAGAUUUUAGUGGCGCAGCUAACGC
rnacentral:rRNA from 1 species